ACUUUUAAAGGAUAACAGCUAUCCAUUGGUUUUAGGUAUCAAAAAUUCUUGGUGCAACCCCAAGUAAAAGUA
rnacentral:tRNA from 1 species